AUACGGGGGGGGCGAGCGUUGUCCGGAAUCAUUGGGCGUAAAGGGUGAGUAGGCGGGAUGGUAAGUCAGAGGUGAAAGUCCAGGGCUCAACUCUGGAUCUGCCUCUGAUACUGCUGUCCUUGAGUGCGUGAGAGGGAAGUGGAAUUCCCGGUGUAGCGGUGAAAUGCGUAGAUAUCGGGAAGAACACCAGUGGCGAAGGCGGCUUCCUGGCCCGCAACUGACGCUGAAUCACGAAAGCGUGGGGAGCAAACAGAAUUAGAAACCCUAGUAGUCC
rnacentral:rRNA from 1 species